rnacentral:tRNA from 1 species
GGAUGUGGCGAAGCUUGGUAUCGCGCUCGGUUCGGGACCGAGAGCUCGCAGGUUCAAAUCCUGUCAUC